rnacentral:rRNA from 1 species
CCUACGAGAGGCAGCAGUGGGGAAUAUUGCACAAUGGUGGAAACCCUGAUGCAGCGACGCCGCGUGAGUGAAGAAGUACUUCGUUACGUAAAGCUCUAUCAGCAGGGAAGAAAAUGACGGUACCUGCGUAAGAAGCCACGGCUAACUACGUGCCAGCAGCCGCGGGCAUACGCAGGGGGCAGGCGUUCGCCGGAUUUACAGGGUGUAAAGGGAGCGUAGCGGGUGCGCCAAGUCUGGAGUGAAAUGCCGCAGCUUAACUGCGGAACUGCUUUUGAUACUGGCGAACUAGAGUGCGGGAGGGGUAAGCGGAAUUCCGAGUGUAGCGGGGAAAUGCGUAGAUAUUAGGAGGAACACCGGUGGCGAAGGCGGCUUACUGGACCGUAACUGACGUUGAGGCUCGAAAGCGUGGGGAGCAAACAGGAUUAGAUACCCCGGUAGUC